rnacentral:rRNA from 1 species
GACGAACCGUGCGAACGUUGUUCGGAAUCACUGGGCUUAAAGGGCGCGUAGGCGGCCAGCACAAGUCAGUUGUGAAAUCUCCGAGCUUAACUCGGAACGGUCAACUGAUACUGUGCGGCUAGAGUGCGGAAGGGGCAACUGGAAUUCUUGGUGUAGCGGUGAAAUGCGUAGAUAUCAAGAGGAACACCUGCGGCGAAGGCGGGUUGCUGGGCCGACACUGACGCUGAGACGCGAAAGCGUGGGGAGCGAACAGG